AAGACUAUAGACCUGCGGAGUACCUGCGGAGGGAUCAUUAACAAAUUUGUUGAGUAUGUACAAUUGUGAACAGGCCAGAGUUUGUAUCUGAAGAAGCAUUUGUGUUGCUGAAUAAGCAAUUAUUUGUGUAGCUGAAGAAGCAGAUGAGCAAUUAUUUGUGUAGCUGAAUAUUUGUGUAGCAGAUAAGCAAUUAUUUGUCUAGCUAAAUAUUUGUGUAGCAGAUAAGCAAUUAUUUGUGUA
rnacentral:misc_RNA from 1 species